rnacentral:rRNA from 1 species
CCCUUAGAUGUUCUGGGCUGCACACGUGCUACACUGGCAGGUUCAGCGAGCUUCAUGCCCAGAUCUGAAAGGAAUGGGAAAUCUUUUCAAAACCUGCCGUGCUUGGGAUAGAUGUUUGCAAUUAUUCAUCUUCAACGAGGAUUGCCUUGUAAGCGCACGUCAUCAGCGUGCAUUGAAUACGACCCUGUAUUCUGUACACACCGCCCGUCGCUCCUACCGAUUGAAGUUUUCGGUGAGUUGACAGGAGGAUUUUUUUGAAACUGGUUCGCCAGUGGAUUUUAGAUCCAAAUGCCAACGAAUCGAUGGCUUUAGAGGAAGGAGAAGUCGUAACA